rnacentral:rRNA from 1 species
AUCUAAGAACAUUUUCCAAUAUUCUUACUUUGUUACGACUUAUUUCAAAUUUUAUUGAAAUUGACGGGCAAUUUGUACAUUAUAUAAAAAAAAAUUCAAAUUAAUAUAACAAUUAAUUUUACUUUUAAAUCCUUUUUAUUAAAAAUAUUAAAACUUCUAACUCAAAAAUUAUUUAUUAAUGUAACUCAUAUUAUCUAAUAAAUACUUUAUUUUGAUUUGAAUUUUUUUUAAAUAUAAUAAAAUUUUAAUUAUAAUAUUUAUACAAAAUUUUUAAACAACAAUACAAAAAUAAUUUAUAAUAUUUUAUUAGUACUUCCUAUCGUGGAUCAUCAAAUUAAUAUACAAGUUCCCCUAAAAUUUUAUAUAACUGCCAUAUCUUAUAAUUUUAAUGCUUUACAUUUAAUAAUUAAU